rnacentral:rRNA from 1 species
GACGAACGCUGGCGGUGUGCUUCACACAUGCAAGUCGAACGAGGUAGCAAUACCUAGUGGCGGACGGGUGAGUAACGCGUGGGAAUCUGCCUUUAGAUGGGGGAUAACGGGUCGAAAGACUCGCUAAUACCGCAUAUGACGAAAGUUGAAAGGAGUAAUCCGUCUAAAGAUGAGCCCGCGUCCGAUUAGCUAGUUGGUAGAGUAAAAGCCUACCAAGGCGACGAUCCGGUAGCUGGUCUGAGAGGAUGAUCAGCCACAAUGGGACUGAGACACGGCCCAUACUCCUACGGAGGCAGCAGUGGGAAUUUUACGCAAUGGGCGAAAGCC